GAUGAACGCUGGCGGCGUGCCUAAUACAUGCAAGUCGAGCGAACAGACGAGAAGCUUGCUCCUCUGACGUUAGCGGCGGACGGGUGAGUAACACGUGGAUAACCUACCUAUAAGACUGGGAUAACUUCGGGAAACCGGAGCUAAUACCGGAUAAUAUAUUGAACCGCAUGGUUCAAUAGUGAAAGACGGUUUUGCUGUCACUUAUAGAUGGAUCCGCGCCGCAUUAGCUAGUUGGUAAGGUAACGGCUUACCAAGGCAACGAUGCGUAGCCGACCUGAGAGGAUGAUCGGCCACACUGGAACUGAGACACGGUCCAGACUCCUACGGGAGGCAGCAGUAGGGAAUCUUCCGCAAUGGGCGAAAGCCUGACGGAGCAACGCCGCGUGAGUGAUGAAGGUCUUCGGAUCGUAAAACUCUGUUAUUAGGGAAGAACAAAUGUGUAAGUAACUAUGCACGUCUUGACGGUACCUAAUCAGAAAGCAACGGCUAACUACGUG
rnacentral:rRNA from 1 species